AUAGGGCGAUGUACCACCUGACGAAUCUGUCACAACCUUCAAACUGCUAUUUUUGAAUGACCCUAAAAAAGAUAAAGAUUAUCAUACAGAAAUUUGCAAUAUCCUUACUGAAUAUCUUCUAUAAAACAAAUUAGAAUAUACAAAUAACUGAAAAUAGGAGAAAAGAGACGUUUAUAUAAUAUUGAACCAGACCAAAUUAUCUCCUGAUAAGAGAUAUACCUUCGAUUGAUUUGUUUUGAAUAAAUGACCAUAAGAUUUGAACUUCAACUAACUUUGAAUUUGAUCUUUCAAGCUUAUACUGUAAUGAGUAAAGCAGGGAAAAACUUA